UUUCCGUAGGUGAACCUGCGGAAGGAUCAUUAAUGAGUUGUCAUGGGGUGCGAUGCUGGCAGCCAACUUUUGGAUGCAUGUGCUUGCCCUAACAAUCAUCUUCCAAACACCUGUGCACAUUUUUGAGGGAGUCUUGAGUUGGUUGCCGCUCUUGGGUGAUUUUCUCACAUUCCCUUAAAUCAUUAUACGCUAUUAACAAUGUUGAACGUGCUCUGUGCCGCAAGGCUAUUAAUAUAAUACAACUUUUAACAAUGGAUCUCUUGGCUCUC
rnacentral:misc_RNA from 1 species